GGGUCAAUGAUGAGAACCUUAUAUGGUUUCACAAGAGAAAUUGAUGACUUAAAAUCAUGUGCUCAAUGGGAUUACGUGAGGCCA
rnacentral:snoRNA from 1 species